rnacentral:rRNA from 1 species
UACGGAGGGUGCAAGCGUUAUCCGGAUUCACGGGGUUUAAAGGGUGCGUAGGAGGGCAGGUAAGUCAGUGGUGAAAUCCCCGAGCUUAACUUGGGAACUGCCGUUGAUACUAUCUGUCUUGAAUACCGUGGAGGUGAGCGGAAUAUGUCAUGUAGCGGUGAAAUGCUUAGAUAUGACAUAGAACACCAAUUGCGAAGGCAGCUCGCUACACGAAUAUUGACUCUGAGGCACGAAAGCGUGGGGAUCAAACAGG